rnacentral:rRNA from 1 species
CCUACGGGAGGCUGCAGUGAGGAAUAUUGGUCAAUGGGCGAGAGCCUGAACCAGCCAAGUCGCGUGAAGGAUGACGGCCCUACGGGUUGUAAACUUCUUUUGUCAGGGAGCAAUUGGGUCCACGCGUGGGCUUAGCGAGAGUACCUGAAGAAAAAGCAUCGGCUAACUCCGUGCCAGCAGCCGCGGUAAUACGGAGGAUGCGAGCGUUAUCCGGAUUUAUUGGGUUUAAAGGGUGCGUAGGCGGAAUAUCAAGUCAGCGGUAAAAAUUCGGGGCUCAACCCCGUCGUGCCGUUGAAACUGAUGUUCUUGAGUGGGCGAGAAGUAUGCGGAAUGCGUGGUGUAGCGGUGAAAUGCAUAGAUAUCACGCAGAACGCCGAUUGCGAAGGCAGCAUACCGGCGCCCGACUGACGCUGAGGCACGAAAGCGUGGGGAUCGAACAGGAUUAGAUACCCUAGUAGUC